AGAGCGAACGCUGGCGGCAGGCCUAAUACAUGCAAGUCGAACGGAUCCUUCGGGAUUAGUGGCGGACGGUUGAGUAACACGUGGGAACGUACCCUUUGGUUCGGAACAACUCAGGGAAACUUGAGCUAAUACCGAAUGUGCCCUUCGGGGAAAAGAUUUAUCGCCAUUGGAGCUGCCCGCGUCUGAUUAGCUAGUUGGUAGGGUAAAGGCCUACCAAGGCUACGAUCAGUAGCUGGUCUGAGAGGAUGAUCAGCCACACUGGGACUGAGACACGGCCCAGACUCCUACGGGAGGCAGCAGUAGGGAAUCUUGCGCAAUGGGCGAAAGCCUGACGCAGCCAUGCCGCGUGAAUGAUGAAGGUCUUAGGAUUGUAAAAUUCUUUCAGCGGGGACGAUAAUGACGGUACCGCAGAAGAAGCCCCGGCUAACUUCGCGCCAGCAGCCGC
rnacentral:rRNA from 1 species